CAACAUGCUUCGUACAAAUUCGCUCCUAUUUCGUUUGUACUUUUGUAUGUGAUACAGUCAACAAACACUGUAGAAUCCACUCUUCAACCAAUGCAGCAUUUACUAAGCGAUGAAAUACCUCACCAUUCGCUCGCUGUUUAACAUUUCCUACUCGUGGAAACCUCUUGCCGUUUGAGUUAACGUUUGGAAUACCACUUAUUUAUCUACGUUUUGCUAGUCAUGAUAUGCAGCAUUGCAGAUUCGUGUUUACAUCAAGAUGUGCUCUGACUACUACCAUGUGGAAUUAUCGUAAUAUCAUCUACUCAGGAUGACGUUAAAAUACAGUAGCGGUAUCAUUUCUGCAAUUUGAUGAUUUGACUCGGCCCAUCCAAUACGGCCAAAUCGGCCAACAUGGGAAGUCGACCCACUCGGGUGCGCAGUGUCGAAAUUCAACCGGAUGGAGUUGACGGCUCUGCAUCAAAGGUCACCCUCAAUGAAGUCCAGACAGAAAACACGCAAUUGAAGAAACGACUGUCCGAUCUGGAGAAGGUAAAUCCAGAUGAGCUGAUCAAGGAAAACGAUAGACUGAAAAAACAAAAUGAAGAUUUACGAAACGAGUUGAUAAAGAUCAGGGAGUCGUCGGUGGUCGACAUUAAACGAUCGUACUCAUUCCCAGUUAAAAAACAAUCCGAUUUAAGCGUCGGAAACCAUGGAAACGGUCAUAACAAUGACAUGUUGUCAGACAACAAUAUGACCCUUACCCCGUCGCCGUCGAUUGAUAGGCGAAUACUCAGUGAUCGGAGCAGCUCGCCUGGUUAUUCAUCAUGCAAGACAAGCCCGAACGUGAACGAUGGUCGAAAACGAAAGAUCGACCCAAACUCGGUGUUACAGAGAAUGAGCGACAUCGAUGCGUACGGACAAGGACUCCCCUAGCGGACUCAACUCUCAUGGUGAAAAACGUACGACGGACGCGGCAUCGGAAACGGAAGACAACACAGAAUUCGAAACCGAAGGACGAUUCACAGUCAAAUUCUGAAGGGACGACGAGUCCUACCGAAAUACUGCCGAAAUCCUCCGAGGAGGGGCAUACGGACUCGGGUGUUCAUUCAACCGAUGUUGAACAGCAUGUGCCGGAUCAGAGGCAGCAUCUUAGUGCUAUUGUUAUGCUAUAACCCAGUCAAGUCGAAUGAAUGAGAGAACGUGUUGUACAGCCUAUCGAGGUGACAAUGACGUCAUGUGUUUGAAACCUACUUCUAAAUAUCGCAAAGUUAAAACAUUUUGAAGAAUAACUAGCCUGGCCAGCUUGAUCUCCAAGUUUAAACAGCCUUUAAGUUUAGGAAGAGUUUCGAUGAGGAUGAUGAGGAAGACGAUGGAGAUGGUGAUAUUGAUUAGGAUGAUAAUGAUUUGCAUUUUACUUGACUGCUAAUAAAGCAAGUCUAUACUUGUCAAGAAGCAACUAUAGGACCUACGGCUCUCAAUCCUAUCCGAGGGACUUUGUGAUUGUGGAUUAAUGCCUUACUCUAUUAAAAGGAAUCAGCCUAUCAACUAAUUUCGAAACCGGGAACUGAGCCCGGUAUUCAUAAAGGAGACGGAAUUGUUAGUGAACGUUCACCGUGUUAUGAAUACCGACCAAAUAUAUUUUUGUUGAGCAAUUUAUUUCUCUUAAUCCCUCUUAUCAUCAGAAGAAGUUUGUUAGAACGCUGCUAUGGCAACGUAUGGAAAAGAAAUGUUACACCAAUGACGCCAGUAAAAACACGAGGGCUCUAGCAUUUAAUGAGCUGUCUUCGGGGUUGCCUAGACGAUGUAACAUAAACGAGCAAUAAGCUUCUUAUUCACAAACACUUUGAUGAGUUUCUUUGAGGCAUCACGUUAUUAUUAUAGCGGCGGAUUUUAGCGGUAAUACUACGCCGACUACAUGUCACAGGCAGACUGGCUUUGUAGGUAAUUUAGGAAGUCGUAGUCAUGAGCAGAUCAAUAUUUCGGCUUGAGGGCCGGUCAAAUUUGUGGUCUAAGGGGCCAAUUAAUAAUAUCGAGUGGCCCAGUUGCAUAAAAAUUCUCCAACUAAAUUAAACCUUGCUCAAAUAUGAUGCGGCAAAAACCUCGGUGGAUUAAAAAAAA